GAUGAAGAACGUAGCGAAAUGCGAUACUUGGUGUGAAUUGCAGAAUCCCGCGAAUCAUCGAGUUUUUGAACGCAAGUUGCGCCCGAAGCCAUUCGGCCGAGGGCACGUCUGCCUGGGUGUCACGCAUCGUUGCCCCCCCAAACUCCGGUUCGGGCGGGGCGGAAGUUGGCCUCCCGUGCGUGCCUGCGCGCGCGGUUAGCCCAACAGCGAGUCCUCGGCGACGAGCGCCACGACAAUCGGUGGUUUUUUUACCCUCGUUCCUCGUCGUGCGUGCCCCGUCGCCCGAACGCGCUCUUGCGACCCUUACGCGUCGCCUCGGCGGCGCUCCCAACGCGACCCCAGGUCAGGCGGGACUACCCGCUGAACUUAAGCAUAUCAAUAAGCGGAGGA
rnacentral:misc_RNA from 1 species